GGCGUAGUGCUUGGGGAGGUGGGGGAACAGGAUAUGAGGAGAGGCAGGGUUGAGGUGAAGAGAGGAGAGAAGGUAGACAUGAAGUUGGGGUUAGGGGCAGAGGGGCGUGAAGGCCCACGGAUGAGGUGGGGUUGCGGGGAACACUGGGCUGCCCGCAGGACCAUGGUCCUGAGCUUCGAGGGGACCUGAAUGCCCAGGUGAUGGCACUCUCCAGCCAGGUCUGCCUCCAUGGCUGCAGGCAGGGAGCAGGGAAGAGUUGGGUUUAGCCCAAGUUUAACCAGAGCUUGGCUAGGACAGUCUGAGGAAAGGGAGAGAGGCCAGAGGACCGCAGGUGUCGGGAAGGCAGUGAUCCCGUGACAGACACAGACCCGAC
rnacentral:lncRNA from 10 species